AUUGAACGCUGGCGGCAGGCCUAACACAUGCAAGUCGAACGGUAACAGGAAGCAGCUUGCUGCUUUGCUGACGAGUGGCGGACGGGUGAGUAAUGUCUGGGAAACUGCCUGAUGGAGGGGGAUAACUACUGGAAACGGUAGCUAAUACCGCAUAACGUCGCAAGACCAAAGAGGGGGACCUUCGGGCCUCUUGCCAUCGGAUGUGCCCAGAUGGGAUUAGCUAGUAGGUGGGGUAACGGCUCACCUAGGCGACGAUCCCUAGCUGGUCUGAGAGGAUGACCAGCCACACUGGAACUGAGACACGGUCCAGACUCCUACGGGAGGCAGCAGUGGGGAAUAUUGCACAAUGGGCGCAAGCCUGAUGCAGCCAUGCCGCGUGUUUGAAGAAGGCCUUCGGGUUGUAAAGUACUUUCAGCGGGGAGGAAGGGAGUAAAGUUAAUACCUUUGCUCAUUGACGUUACCCGCAGAAGAAGCACCGGCUAACUCCGUG
rnacentral:rRNA from 1 species